UUUGUUAUUCAUUAUGAUUUGCUAUUGUUUACAAACAUUUUCCAGGUCAAAUAUUUGUUUAUAGUUUAGUCAAAUUGUGUUUUCUUAAGUUGGCACAUAUAUGUAUUUUGGUUAAAGCAUAUUACAUAUCAAACUGAAAAUAUAUGAUGAUUAAGUGCUUCCUGCUAGGUCUAGGUCUAGGUCUAAGUUUAGUUGAAGGUAGUCUUUUCCUUGGAAAAACC